rnacentral:rRNA from 1 species
CCUACGGGUGGCAGCAGUGGGGAAUAUUGGACAAUGGGCGAAAGCCUGAUCCAGCCAUGCCGCGUGUGUGAAGAAGGCCUUCGGGUUGUAAAGCACUUUCAGUGGGGAAGAAAGCCUUGGGGCUAAUACCCUCGAGGAAGGACAUCACCCACAGAAGAAGCACCGGCUAACUCCGUGCCAGCAGCCGCGGUAAUACGGAGGGUGCGAGCGUUAAUCGGAAUUACUGGGGUAAAGCGCGCGUAGGCGGUCUGAUAAGCCGGUUGUGAAAGCCCCGGGCUCAACCUGGGAACGGCAUCCGGAACUGUCAGGCUAGAGUGCAGGAGAGGAAGGUAGAAUUCCCGGUGUAGCGGUGAAAUGCGUAGAGAUCGGGAGGAAUACCAGUGGCGAAGGCGGCCUUCUGGACUGACACUGACGCUGAGGUGCGAAAGCGUGGGUAGCAAACAGGAUUAGAUACCCGGGUAGUC